rnacentral:rRNA from 1 species
GAUGAACGCUGACAGAAUGCUUAACACAUGCAAGUCUACUUGAAUUUGGGUUUUUUAACUCAGAUUUGGGUGGCGGACGGGUGAGUAACGCGUAAAGAACUUGCCUCACAGCUAGGGACAACAUUUGGAAACGAAUGCUAAUACCUGAUAUUAUGAUUAUAAGGCAUCUUAGACUUAUGAAAGCUAUAUGUGCUGUGAGAGAGCUUUGCGUCCCAGUAGCUAGUUGGAGAGGUAACGGCUCACCAAGGCGAUGAUGGGUAGCCGGCCUGGGAGGGUGAACGGCCACAAGGGGACUGAGACACGGCCCGUACUCCUACGGGAGGCAGCAGUGGGAAAUAUUGGACAAUGGACCAAGAGUCUGAUCCAGCAAUUCGGUGUGCACGAUGACGUUUUUCGGAAUGUAAAGUGCUUUCAGUUGGGAAGAAAAAAAUGACGGUACCAACAGAAGAAGUGACGGCUAAAUACGUG